ensembl:lncRNA
UUCUGAUCUAAAAUGAACAAUGAAAAGAGAAAUAUUCAUUCAUUCAAAUCUUUAUUAGUGAUGACAUUAGCAAAAUGUAUUCACUUAAGCAACAAAUAUAUGUGUGAGAUACUGUGCUCGCACAGUGGGAGAGACAAAGAUGCAUUAGAGAAAGAACUGUCCUCAAGAGGUUUACAAUCUAGUAAGAGAGAUGAGGCAUGGACACAGUUACUAAUGCAGAAAAUAAGGUGUGCUAUAUCAUAGGAAGCACAAAUUGAACAUGGUAGGAAUUGAGGGGAAGGUAUAUUCAGUAUAGGGGUUUUCCAGGUGGCACCAGUGGUAAAGAACCCGCCUGACAAUGCAGGAGACAUAAGAGACGUGGGUUUGACCUCUGAGUCGGGAAAAUCCCCUGGAAGAGGACAUGGCAACCCAGUCCAGUAUUCUUGCCCAAAGAACUCCAUUGACAGAGCGGCCUGGCUACGGUCCAUAGGGUCGCAAAGAGUCAGACAAAACUGAAACAACUUAGUACGCACAUAUUCAGUAUGACUGCCGCAAAGCAUGGAUGGGGGAAAUGGCAGGUAAAUCAAGAGAAUGGACAAGGGCAAGAUCAUUAAGAGUCUUGUGUGCUAAACUAGGGUUUGAUAUUCAUCCUGAGAGCUAUGGGGAACAUUUGUAGAUUGUAAGGCAAGGAGUGGCAUGCAUUCACUCUCUCCUUAAUUACUGAACUCUUGAUGUAUAUCUAGCACUGAGUAAUACUGCCAACCAAAGUCACCUGCAGAACUUUUAAAUAUCUCUGAGUCCAAGCUCCACCAGACCUACCCAAUCAGAACUUGUAAUGCCAGGCUGGAUGAAUCACAAGCUGGAAUCAAGAUUGCUGCAAGAAACAUCAGCAACCUCAGUCAGAUAUGCAGAUGAUACCACUUUAAUGGCAGAAAGUGAAGCAGAACAGAAGAAACUCUUGAUGAGGGUGAAAGAGAUUGGAAAAGCAGAUGAGAAAUUGAACAUUAAAAAAAGAUCAUGGCAUCCUGAUCCAUCAUUUAAUGGCCAAUAGAAGUGGACAAAGUGGAAUAGAUUUUAUUUUCUUGGGCUCCAAGGUCACUGCAGAUGGUGACUGCAGCCAUGAAAUUUAAAGAUAUUUGCUCCUUGGAAGGAAAGCUAUGGCAAACCUAGACAGUGUAUUAAAAAGUAGAAAAAUCACUCUGCCAACAAAGGUCAGUAUAGUCAAAGCUAUUGUCUUUCUAGUAAUCAUGUGUGGAUUUGAGAGUUGGACCAUAAAGAAGGCUGAGCACCAAAGAAUGGAUGCUUUUGAAUUGUGGUGCUGGAGAAGAUUCUUCAAGGUCCCUGGACCAAGGAGAUAAAACCAGGCAAUACUAAAGGAAAUCAACCCUGUAUAUUCAUUGGAAGGACUGAUAUUGAAGCUGAAGCUCUAAUACUUUGGUCACCUGAUGCAAAGAGCUGACUUUUUAGAAAAGAUUCUGAUUCUGGGAAAGAUUGAAGGCAAAAGGAGAAGCAGGCAGCAGAGGAUGAGAUGGUUACAUAGCAUCACCAACUCAGUGAAGACGAAUUUGAACAGACUCUCGGACAUAGUGGAGGACAGAGGAGCCUGGCAUGCUACAGUCCAUGGGGUUGCAAAGAGUUGGACAUAACUUAGCGACUCAGCAACAACAGGGUUGCUGAACAGUAGUCCCCUGGCUCCUCCUGAAUCUCAUGCAAAAGGCUGGAACUCUCAAUCCCUGACAGCUUCUGGAUUCUUCCUUCAGCAUCAAACUGCAAGAUGGCAGCCUUCUGGCUAGACUACAACCAGGUCAGAUGCAGACUUCUUUUCCUCUUGGGUUGGACUCACUUCCAGCUUCUGCAGCUGGGCCUGUGCCCCGGCUGCCUGCCUCAGCCUCUCAGGAGAGGCAACUCCUUAACCUGCCUUUUCCAGUCAGUCUUGCCUCAUUCAAGUUAUCUAGGUCAUCUCAGAUGGUGCCUCAAGAUAUGAAGCCUGGAAUUCAAGAGGGUGACUUCUUCCUGAUGAGUGCUAACUGAAGCUAGAAAAAUAAUUCUGAUAUCUCUGUAUUAAGAUGCUUCUUCCUUUGUGACUGCCAUGCUCUUCAAGCUUUAUUUAGGAUGGUUAAUAUCACAUAUUUGGCGCUAGUGGUAAAGAAUCCACCUGUCAAUGCAGGAGACGCAGGUUUGAUCCUUGGGUGGAAAAGAUCCCCUGGAGGAGGGAAUGGCAGUUCACUCCAGUAUUCAUGCCUGGGAAAUCCCAUGGGUAGAGGAACCUGGAGGGCUAUCGUCCAUGGGGUUGCCAAGAGUUGGACAUGACUGAGCACACACACAAUAUCACAUAAGCUAAUUUACCGAUUAAAAUUAAAACUUUACUUACAGAGUCAUGGAAAGUCUUAAUUUUGAAAAAUACUUCAUGUUUUAGGAAAAUAAGCCAUGACUUCAUGUUUGAGGGUCAAGCAGGAUACAGAGCUAUAUAAGGUUGUAUGAGCUCACUGUAUCAGACAUCAUGUGGGAUUUUGGCCUCUCAGUAUCAGCUCCCUGCCCAGGUUUGGGGAAUUUCCCACCAUGUGAUUCUUCACAUGCUGUGAAGUUCUCCUACCAUUAGAGAGGUAAGAAUUAAGAACCUUUCUGUCACCAUUCCCAGACAUCUGGGGCCAGCACGUGGACUUGAUCAAGCACCCACCCGUCCAGACUUGGAAUUGGGAACCAGCGACCCACAGAAACAAGGAUAGUAGAAACUCCAUCCCAUUAGUGAAGGUGACCCAGUUUCUAGGGCAGCAGGGCUGGCAGGGCAGGCAGAAUCGACAUCAGCGUCUGGGCCCAUGGUAUCAGAAGUACCAGCUUCAGUGAGAGUCUUUAGAGUAGGACCCUCACUAGAAUUAUUGCAUGGUAUUAGCCAGCUUCUGGUUCUGGUUUUUUAGCCAUUCUUUGUCAUUUUUACUCUUCCUUUUUACCAAGACUGGUUUUCCAGGAUUUUCUGUGAAUUUCUGAGCUAUCAAAUAUCUUUUCAAUAAAUUCUUUUCUGCUUAAAGAAGUGACAGCUCUUUCAGUUGCUUACAGCUAAGAAUUCUGACUAAUAUGUGUGCUUAGUUACUCAGUUGUGUCCGGCUCUUUGCGACCCCAUGGACUGUAGCCUGGCAGGCUCCUCUGUCCCUGGGGAUUUUCCAGGCGAGAAUACUGGAGUGGGAUUUUUCCAACCCAGGGAUUAAACCCAGGUCUCUCACGUUCCAGGCAGAUUCUUUCCAUCUGAGCCACCAGGGAAGCCCAAGAAUACUGGAGUGGGUAGCUUAUUCCUUCUCCAGGGGAUCUUCCUGACCCAGGAAUCGAACUAGGGUCCCCUGCAUUGCAGGCAGAUUCUUUACCAGCUGAGCUACCAGGGAAGCCCUCUGACUUGUAUAUCAAUGUUAUUUAAAAUGCAAAGAUAAAAGACUCAAUGUACACUCAGUGUUUACAAUGGUUAUCCUUAGACAUGUAUGAUCACAUAUCUUUUUAAUUUUCUUCUUCUUAGGUGCAUUUUCUAAAAAUUUUAGUUAAAAUAGUAUUACCUUAGUAGUCAGAAAAGAAGUUAAAGCUUGAUAUUUCUUUGCACCUAUGAUGAUCUUAAUUAUUGGAAAACAAUUAACUUGAUUACUCAAGUGGAGUCUAUUUUUGUUCUAUCAAAAUAAGGUACAUGGUCAUUUCAACCUUGGUCUGGGCAAGUCAUAGGUAUUUUGGUAGGAAAAAAUGCCAAUAUAUUUUGUAAAAAAGAAUCCCUGUGAUCAAUCUUACCUUUCACUCCUGAUCUACACAUAUUUUUUUUAUUUGUUUUAGAAUCAGUCCUUCAAAGGGUGGCCUGAGAAAACUAGACUAUGUAUGUUUAUGGAAACUUAACACAAUCCAAAGCAAUGUGUCAUUUCUGUGUAUCACUCAUCUUUAUAAAUGUGCAUAAUUCUUUGUUGGUUACUCUCAAAUAGAUUUUCCAACAGUUUUGUGAAUACUAUGAGUAAUAGUCUAAAAUACUAGAAUAUAUAUUGAACCUAUCAGCCAACUACAUAAGCCUAUUUAUGCAGUUGGCUGUGUGGCCACCAGCAAAGAUGUUAGCAGCAUAGAAGAAAAUGUAUCCUUCCUUAGAACAAAGUGUCCUUCCUUAGAACAAAAUCCCAGCUACCAAAAGAAAACAAAGACCAUCACUGAUAAGAAGCAAUGAUAGUCUUGUUUCUUUCUGUAAGAGAACAUGGAGCUUUUCAGUAUCCUAGCCUCCCAGUGGGAGACUGCCUGCUUUUGACCAUGGGUGAGAGAUCAAAGUUACAUGGGAUAAGAGUCUCCUAUCCCUCUAUCAAUGCCACUGAGAAAGCGCUCAAGGGAACUGUGAAUCUGAACCAGUUGUGAUCACUGAGUUGCUUCAGCCGUCAGUGUAGAGAUUCCAUUGAUCACACCAACUAAAGCACUGAAGCAGUAAAGCGUAGUGAAAUGAAAGGAGUGUGACAUGUAAUCAACAGACUUGGUGUUACAGCCCAGGCCAAGCAUCCAUCACUGAUUGCAUGAGUUACUUGACCUCUCUGAGCCUCAGUUUCACCACAGAAUGCAGAUAAAAGAAACACCUCAUGGUGUUAAAGGAAAUAAUGCAUGUAAAACUCAGAGCCCAGUUUCUGGUUUAUAAUGGGUACUCAGUAAAUGGAAGACCUCUUCCAUCCAUGACUGCUGCCCCCAUUAUUUUUCUGGAACAUUCUUUAUCUUUUGGAAAAACUGAGUGCAAAUAAAAUUUUUGCAAAGAUAGUUAUUUUUCUCAAAUUUCUCAAAUCUGGUAAAAAGCUAAAUUCACCUUCUAAUUAUUUUUUGGAAAGAGACGUCUUGCCCCUGAACCAUGAAAAAUUGUUAAUAAAAGGAAACAUUUUCAAUUAGCUGAGUGAAUGAUCUAUGUCAAUAUUGCAUGUGGCAAAUGGAUUGUCAUUUAACAUGUAAGAAUCAACAUGAAAAUUCAGGGAAAAAGAUAUUAGAGCUCAUGAGAUUCUAUGGUGUAAAAAAGGAUUGACAUUUGCCUGGUGAGCACACUAAGCUUCAAUAGAUAAUCACCACUUUCUUAUGUUCAUUGAAUAAGGGAAACACUCCAUAUGGAGCAAAAUGCUUUCAUAAACUGUUUAGGUGUGUUAAAUCAGCUUGGACACUAAGAUACAGUGUCCCAUGUCCUUCCAAAUAGUAUUUUUUUCUUUCCAAUGUGUAAAUGAGACUCCAAUCUCUCAGAAGGUGAUUCAAGAAUAGAAGUACAGAAUAGGAAACUCAAACUAGAGAAGACUCUCUGUCCAAAAAAAAAAAAAUCAAUAAUUUUGCUACUGAGAAAUUGCUACCAUCCUUAUCCAGGAAGGGGUGGAAAGGUCAGACCAAGUUAACUUGUGUGACAAAUGAGUUUAUAAAGUAGUCUGUAUCAGGAGACUAAUUUAAUUGACUCCUUUAAGUAUGAUAAUA